CCUACGGGAGGCUGCAGUGAGGAAUAUUGGUCAAUGGACGAGAGUCUGAACCAGCCAAGUAGCGUGAAGGAUGACUGCCCUAUGGGUUGUAAACUUCUUUUAUAAAGGAAUAAAAUGAGGCACGUGUGCCUUUUUGAAUGUACUUUAUGAAUAAGCAUCGGCUAACUCCGUGCCAGCAGCCGCGGUAAUACGGAGGAUCCGAGCGUUAUCCGGAUUUAUUGGGUUUAAAGGGUGCGUAGGUGGGAUGUUUAGUCAGUUGUGAAAGUUAGGGGCGCAACCUUAACAGUGCAAUUGAAACUGGCAGUCUGGAGUACAGGUGAGGUAUGCGGAAUUCGUGGUGUAGCGGUGAAAUGCUUAGAUAUCACGCAGAACCCCGAUUGCGAAGGCAGCUUACUAACCUGGAACUGACAUUGAUGCACGAAAGUGUGGGUAUCGAACAGGAUUAGAUACCCUAGUAGUC
rnacentral:rRNA from 1 species